GACGAACGCUGGCGGCGUGCUUAACACAUGCAAGUCGAACGGAGCGAAUGAAAGCUUGCUUUUAUGAGCUUAGUGGCAAACGGGUGAGUAACACGUAGACAACCUGCCGACAGGAUGGGGACAACAUUCCGAAAGGAAUGCUAAUACCGAAUGAAGUCGAGGGAAGGCAUCUUCCUUCGAUGAAAGAUGGCCUCUAUAUAUAAGCUAUCACCUGUUGAUGGGUCUGCGUCUGAUUAGCUGGUAGGUGAGGUAACGGCUCACCUAGGCGACGAUCAGUAGCCGGUCUGAGAGGAUGAACGGCCACAUUGGGACUGAGACACGGCCCAGACUCCUACGGGAGGCAGCAGUGGGGAAUCUUCCGCAAUGGGCGCAAGCCUGACGGAGCAACGCCGCGUGAGUGAAGAAGGUCUUCGGAUCGUAAAGCUCUGUUGACGGGGACGAACGUACGGAGUGCAAAUAGU
rnacentral:rRNA from 1 species